rnacentral:snoRNA from 1 species
UUUCCUCUUAGAACACUUGAUAGGUCUGAAGGGUGGCCUAGGAAGCUGUCAAGGAAGGACAAAGCAAGUGGCCAUCAUUUUGUAGGAGAGGUGGCAGUACGAUAUACUGUUGGUCUCAAUCAGUGAUGGCACAGAU